UACGAAGGGGGCUAGCGUUGCUCGGAAUCACUGGGCGUAAAGCGCACGUAGGCGGAUCUUUAAGCCAGGGGUGAAAUCCCAAGGCUCAACCUUGGAACUGCCUUUGAUACUGGGGAUCUCGAGUCCGGAAGAGGUUGGUGGAACUGCGAGUGUAGAGGUGAAAUUCGUAGAUAUUCGCAAGAACACCAGUGGCGAAGGCGGCCAACUGGUCCGGCACUGACGCUGAGGUGCGAAAGCGUGGGGAGCAAACAGG
rnacentral:rRNA from 1 species